UACAGAGGGUGCGAGCGUUAAUCGGAAUUACUGGGCGUAAAGCGCACGUAGGCGGCUUGGUAUGUCGGGUGUGAAAUCCCCGGGCUCAACCUGGGAACUGCAUCCGAAACUGCCUUGCUAGAGUAUGGGAGAGGGAAGUGGAAUUUCCGGUGUAGCGGUGAAAUGCGUAGAUAUCGGAAGGAACAUCAGUGGCGAAGGCGACUUCCUGGCCUGUUCUUGACGCUGAGGCGCGAAAGCUAGGGGAGCAAACGGG
rnacentral:rRNA from 1 species